UAGAUGAAUGCUCGCUGGUUUGGGCGCUUAGCUGUUAACUAAGAGUUUGAAGGAUCGAGGCCUUCUCAUCUAG
rnacentral:tRNA from 1 species